rnacentral:rRNA from 1 species
UUGACCUCGGAUCAGGUAGGGUUACCCGCUGAACUUAAGCAUAUCAAUAAGCGGAGGAAAAGAAACCAACAGGGAUUGCCUCAGUAACGGCGAGUGAAGCGGCAACAGCUCAAAUUUGAAAUCUGGCUGCCUGUGCAGUCCGAGUUGUAAUUUGAAGAGGAUGCUUUUGGCAAGGUGCCUUCCGAGUUCCCUGGAAUGGGACGCCAUAGAGGGUGAGAGCCCCGUAUGGUCGGUCGCCGAGCCUCUGUAAAGCUCCUUCGACGAGUCGAGUAGUUUGGGAAUGCUGCUCAAAAUGGGAGGUAAACCCCUUCUAAAGCUAAAUACUGGCCAGAGACCGAUAGCGCACAAGUAGAGUGAUCGAAAGAUGAAAAGCACUUUGAAAAGAGAGUUAAACAGCACGUGAAAUUGUUGAAAGGGAAGCGCUUGCGACCAGACUUGUGCUCGUCGAAUCAGCCGUCGCUCGUCGGCGGCGCAUUUCGGCGGGCUCAGGCCAGCAUCAGUUCGCUGUGGGGGAGAAAGGCGGUAGGAAUGUGGCUCCUCGGAGUGUUAUAGCCUACCGUAUAAUACCCCUCGGCGGACUGAGGACCGCGCAUCUGCAAGGAUGCUGGCGUAAUGGUUGUCAGCGACCCGUCUUGAAACACGGACCAAGGAGUCGUCCUAAUAUGCGAGUGUUCGGGUGUCAAACCCCUACGCGUAAUGAAAGUGAACGGAGGUGAGAGCUUCGGCGCAUCAUCGACCGAUCCUGAUGUUCUCGGAUGGAUUUGAGUAUGAGCAUAUUGGGCCGGACCCGAAAGAAGGUGAACUAUGCCUGUAUAGGGUAAAGCCAGAGGAAACUCUGGUGGAGGCUCGCAGCGGUUCUGACGUGCAAAUCGAUCGUCAAAUAUGGGCAUGGGGGCGAAAG